UAGCAUGUUUAUAAGAUUCAUGGCUGGUAGUAGCUAUGGGAUCUUCAACUGCAUGUGAGAAUAAUCUAGGAAGACUUUGACAGCACAGGUCAGCAUAAUACUUGUAGCUGCCCCUCACCUUUCCUGUAUUU
rfam:Erinaceus europaeus unplaced genomic scaffold scaffold00101, whole genome shotgun sequence